rnacentral:rRNA from 1 species
GAUGAACGCUGGCGGCGUGCCUAAUACAUGCAAGUCGAGCGAACGGACGAGAAGCUUGCUUCUCUGAUGUUAGCGGCGGACGGGUGAGUAACACGUGGAUAACCUACCUAUAAGACUGGGAUAACUUCGGGAAACCGUAGCUAAUACCGGAUAAUAUUUUGAACCGCAUGGUUCAAAAGUGAAAGACGGUCUUGCUGUCACUUAUAGAUGGAUCCGCGCUGCAUUAGCUAGUUGGUAAGGUAACGGCUUACCAAGGCGACGAUGCAUAGCCGACCUGAGAGAGGGAUCGGCGACACUGGAACGGAGACACGGUCCAGACUCCUACGGGAGGCAGCAGUAGGGAAUCUGCCGCAAUGGGCGAGAGCCUGACGGAACAACGCCGCGUGAGUGAUGAAGGUCUUCGGAUCGUAAAACUCUGUUAUUAGGGAAGAACAGAUGUGUAAGUAACUGUGCACAUCUUGACGGUACCUAAUCAGAAAGCAACGGCUAACUACGUG